UAAGGAAUAUUGCUCAAUGGGAGAAAUCCUGAAGCAGCAACGCCGCGUGGAGGAUGAAGGGCUUUCAGCUUGUAAACUCCUGUAAAGAAGGAAAAAAUACCCAUUAGAUGGGAAAUGAUGGUACUUCUAAAGUAAGCCCCGGCUAACUACGUGCCAGCAGCCGCGGUAAUACGUAGGGGGCAAGCGUUGGCCGGAUUUACUGGGUGUAAAGGGUGCUCAGGCGGAUUUGUAAGGCAGAGGUGAAAUCUCACAGCUUAACUGUGUAACUGCCUUUGAUACUGCAAGUCUAGAGUAUGGAAGAGGGUGAUGGAAUGUCUGGUGUAGCAGUGAAAUGCGUAGAUAUCAGAUAGAACACCAAUGGCGAAGGCAGUCACUUGGUCCAUUACUGACGCUAAAGCACGAAAGCGUGGGUAGCAAACA
rnacentral:rRNA from 1 species